UUUCUGGCUGGGUGUCUGACAGUAAAUAGUGGUUUUAUUGGCUUUUUUUAGAGUCCUAUCUUCUCGAUCCAAAAUGGAGCCAGAUGUGUUGGGAGUCAGCUCCUAACUUCACAGGGUAUGAGUCAAAAUGUGCAGCUCGCCGCCUGGAACUCCGGUGACUGCAGUGGAGUUCAGCCAAGGACAAUUUUGGCGAAGAGGAGUAGUCAGGACGGCCCUAAGUGAUACCAGGUACCAGCGUGUGGCCCUGGGGAGGAGCUGGGGAGCAGCCUGGAGCCCCUGAGCACAGCACUGUGAACAGCAGAGCAGGCCAACGUGAAGGCAACUUGAAGGAUGUGCAGGAGACCUGGGACAACGCUCUCCAGAGCCCUGUGAGGUUUCGGCCGCGCCGUCGAGGCCGAGGAAUCACCGGGAGCAGAGGGAGCAGCGGGGCCGUGGCCAGGACGUAAGAAGCCAGAAAAAGAAAAGAAUUAGCAGAGUGACAUGUAGGCUUUUAAAAUAUCUGCCCACUGUUGGUUCCCAGACUCACCCUCAACAAAGCAACGCUCCUCAGUCACCCUCCUUACCCUUACGGGAACAUCUUCUGGGGAAGUACGGUGCAGCACAGUUAAAAAGUAUGGAGAAUUUUGAAACCCUUCGCAUUCAAGGCCAUUUAAAUGAAAAUACCGCA
rnacentral:lncRNA from 1 species